UUCUUCUUCAAAUCCUUUUUCUUUUCGUUUAUUUUUAGUGUAAAAGAUUUGCUAUUUCAUUUUUUGUGUAUCCUUUUGUUUCUCAAGUUGGAUGCUCAAAAUGAUUGUGUUACGUGUUGCUUUGAGUUUAGCAAAUUGACACCAGGUGUAAUUUACAGUUUUGCCUACAUCGACUUCAAGGAUUCUUCUAGCAUGAAGAGAGCUCUAGAACUCAAAUGAAACUGAACUUGCUGCUUGAGAAUGAGGACAUGCUCUAUCUACUUUCUAUUGAUGAUAAUGAAGAGCAGUGCAUUCAAAUACCAUGUUGAUUUUUGGUUAUCACUGCUAGUAUUUAACAGGUUAUGGUGGUUGAUGCUGAGGCAUACACCUAUGAUGAUAAGGUCAUCAAGAAAGCUGAAGUAAUGGGGAAGCCCGAAAAUCCUGAAGAAGAAGCUACUGUGGAAACUACUAGAGCCAUAAAACAUCAUCAAGAAAGCUGAAGCAAUGGGGAAGCCCGAAAAUCCUGAAGAAGAAGCUACUGUGGAAACUACCAGAGCCAUAAAAACUUCUCAGUUGUUGCUAAAUGCCAUUGAAAUCCUGAAGAAGAAGCUGGAUGCAUGCUGUACGUCUCUGAGCACAUAGUGGAGGCUGAUGAUUAGUUUGGUGAAUUGGGUGCACAUAUGUGAGGAGGUUGAUCAAAAUUAUUGUUAGAUAGGAUGGCAAAGUUAUUGGAAUUGUAAUUCAUGUAUUAGGAAUACAUUGCGUAGUU